rnacentral:siRNA from 1 species
UGCAACAUUGUGCUUGUCUACGGA